GACAGAGGGUGCAAACGUUGUUCGGAAUUACUGGGCGUAAAGCGCGUGUAGGCGGCUAAGUAAGUCGGGCGUGAAAUCCCACGGCUCAACCGUGGAAGUGCACUCGAAACUGCGUAGCUAGAGUCCUGGAGAGGAAAGUGGAAUGCUUGGUGUAGAGGUGAAAUUCGUAGAUAUCAAGCGGAACACCGGUGGCGAAGGCGGCCUUCUGGACAGUGACUGACGCUGAGACGCGAAAGCGUGGGGAGCAAACAGG
rnacentral:rRNA from 1 species